UUCGGAAGGCAGCAGCCGAGAGCUUGGUGGGGCUGGCGAUG
rnacentral:SRP_RNA from 14 species